CCUGAGAAACCCAAAAGAUCGAAUGGGGAGAUUCAUCGUCAGCUCAUUUUGUAUAUAUAUAAGUUAUGAUGUGAGUUACUACUUGUAGUAUUGCGUUGACAUUCUUAUAUAUUUUAUUGCAAGAUGUUGUCGGCGUGCACUUCUUCCCUAGUAGAACGUCGCGACCCGUUGGGGUCGGUCUACGGCCUAAGUGGUAGUCUUUAAUAUUUUUAUAUAAUAUUAAAGUCCCUUAGUGUCUCCUGACCGGCUACUCGGCGGUACACAUAAACGGUAUUAAGCCGCAAAUUUUAAUGUGCGUCCAUUUCCGUCGCAAGCGAGGCCAAUUAUUGAUAAUACGGACUUAGUACCGUUUUUGGUAUUGGCCAGCUGUUGGUUGUUACGGUAUUCUAGGACUGGCUUAUAAAAAUGAAAAAUUUACCGGUCAGCGAUGCUACUGCUUUGGGUACUUUCAGGACCCGUCUUGAAACACGGGACCAAGGAUCUAACAUGUGCGCGAGUCAUUGGGAUAUUUUAAAUAAAAUUAAACCUAAAGGCGUAAUGAAAGUAAAGGUCGUCUUUAAGUCGAUCGAGGGAGGAUGAGUUAUGUUAUGAUAUAGCUCCGCACUCCCCGGGGGUCUCAUUCUUAUUAUAAGAAGAGGCGCACUUAG
rnacentral:rRNA from 1 species